rnacentral:misc_RNA from 1 species
AAGUCGUAACAAGGUUUCCGUAGGUGAACCUGCGGAAGGAUCAUUAACACGUAUCCAACGUUAAACCCCCCCGUGAACUCGCACUUUAGCAAUCCCUGGUAAAUCAUUGCCGAACAGUUUUGAUUCAGGGACUUCUGCGUAGACUGUGCUUGAGCGUGAGGCAAGUGGCCUGGCAUUCCUCUGCUUGUUGGUGUCUGAAAGUGUCACCAGCUCUGUACGAAUGGCGCAGUCACGAUCGCUAGAGGCCGACACGGCCGGCAAACUCGAACAACUGUUAACAAUGGAUAUCUUGGUUCUC